AGCUAAGAUGACAGCUGUUGGCCUGUACCUCGGCCCUCAAGUUUCCCAUGCAAUGUGCUUCCUACUAUUCAUUGUUGCCCCGUCUCUAGAAAUGCUGUAAAAAUCUACACAGAAAACCUGACCGUCUAUGUGGUUCUUGCGGAGGAAUGAAAAGAAACAUGGCAAAUGAGGAACAGGUUGUUAUCAAAUGGACCCUGCCAGACUGAAUUUCUUCCUGCAAAGAGGACAGUCCAGGUCUGCUGAUGGGUUUCCAACACAGGAAACUCAGGGGUUCUAAUACCUCCUCUUGACCCAGUAACUGACAAGCCCUGAGCCUCAGGAUUCCUGGCCCUGUCCCCUCUCACCUCCUCUGCCAAACCAUGGUACUAGAAGAAAAUUACAAGAGGUAUUACAUGGAUGUGAGCCCUUGGGCAUGAGUGAUCGAAAGCAAGAGGUGAAAACAUUGAUUAGAGGAGUUCAGAGCAUCUGGAACAUCUUAACAUCUCCUAGUAGCAUGUAGGAAGGGCUCUGUCGAACUUUCCUUACACUGCCUCUCCUGCCUUCAGCCUAGGCUUCCUGGGGCUCCAUAGCCAGGUCAUAGAAUAUUAUUCUCUGCCUCCUGACUCCAGUCCCUUUCUCUCUAAUCUGCCUGCUACAUUUGCACUGCUACCUUUCCACUGGCCUUUUCAGCCAGUUACCCUCAUUCAUCUGCUUCUUCCUUUGCCUCUAAACUUCCCAGGCCUUGGUCUAAUAUAUUCUUUUAAGGUGCAAACCUUUGUAAGUCCCCAGGUU
rnacentral:lncRNA from 1 species